GUCUUGGACAGGGGAGCUACUUCUAUUUUCCGUCCCCUGCAUUCUAGUUCCUUUUUCCCCAUCCGCUUGAGAUUUUAUGGUGCUAGUCGGUGACUGGUUCAAGCAAAAUCACAUUGAUUUGAAAUCAAUUUUGGACAGUGGAAUAAUCUUCCCUUUCCAGAUGGAAUUGUUAUUAAAGGACUGUCAGCAAACUCGUAAACUUUUACCAUUGAUCAAGGUAAAACUUAUAGGUUCCGGAUAUCAAAUGUGGGCCUUACUACCAACCAAGCACGUUCAAUCAGGUACGGACCUGCCCAGCUGCAUAUUGCCUUGCAGAUUGUUGCUAUAAUUUUAUUCAUCUAGUAAUGCAAAGUGCAAAACGAGCAAUAAUGUGUAUUUGUGUGUAUGUGCACGUCCAUGCGGCUGAGCUCUGCGCUGAUCUGCACGUUGAAUAUG